ACGUUUAGACUAAUACAUUUAAUGUUUGCAAUGUACCCGCCCCGCAACACGCGCGGGUGUUAUUCCUAGUUAUUAUUAAAUUAAAACUUAAGUGUAUAUUAUAUACUAUCUUAAAAGAGAAAGUCGGUGGCUAUUCCACCGACCCCUCUUCAAUUUCUCCUCUCAAGACCCUUCUUCUAUUUUUCCUUCUAAGCUAUCACUACCAACAAUCGGAAUUCCAGAACACAAGAUUGACGAAAUCAAAAUGCAUAUGAACUCAUUCUCAAUCCAUAAAAAGGAAAAAAUAAGAAGCCGGACCUCCACGGUGGUUCACCGUCAAGGCAGACGGCGACGAUGGCGACGCCAUCGUUUCUGGAGGCGGAUGCGGCGGCUCCGAUGGGUUCCGUUUUUACAACCAUGAUCUCCGGCGAACCGCUAUGAUUUUUUAAUCGAAGAUUGAUGACUCUUAGGCCACCCUCGACAGAGAAAUUGAAGCUCUGCACACCAGGUGUUCGCUUAAAUGCUCAUUUCAGAUUUACAUUUGAAUUUGAGGAGGGCUACAUCAUUCUUGAGUGAUAAAAGAUACAUAAUCAGUUGAAGAAGCCUCCCUUUCUUUGUAGGCGGAGGUGAGUAUGUCCUAUUACCAAGUUAUUAUUCUUUAUUCUAAUUGUGUGAGUUAUAUUUCCUCUUAUUCUUUUUAUUUUCCAACGAGAGUUAAAGUUUUGUGCCCUUUGAAGAUUGGGGAUAAGAAACCAGAUGAUAUAAGGACGAAUAAAGAUUGGUAGUCGAGUUGGAUAACAGGUCAAAACUGGCUUUGGUUUGAAACGAGACAUUGCAAUAUUAUGGUAUGCUUAUUAUGAUUUAAUAUAAAAUAGCCUUUGGGUUGAAGCGAUUCAAAUUUAUGACGUCCCUAAAAAAGGGUGUGCAUGUUCCCAACCCAGCUUUCAUGUACUGUGUAAACACUACUAUAGAAGAAGAAAGUGACGAUGCAAAAGUUGUUUUCUUCAACGAAGCGUUGGAACAAAUGCUGGAAAAAAGUUGGGGGGGGGGGGGUGAACAAAGUUGGGGUACUACCCGUCCUAGCAACCCGGAUCCUAAAACAACUACCAAAAGAAGAAGACCAGAUUCGCCAGUGAAACAACGGGAAAGCAAGCAAGGAAGUAAAAGGAUAAUGCGGAAGGUAACGUUUUUGACAAGCCAGAAAAACCCAAAUCCAUGUUGAUUUUCUAGGGGAAAAAAGCCAACAGGAAAGGCUUUGCCUCCAUAUGCAACAACACAACGUCAACGUUUGAAGUAACGGAAGACAUUUUGGCUCCAGCGACAACAUGACAAAACUGGGAAGGUAACUAGCAAGGACACCGACUUUUGAAGAAAAAAAACUUAACAAAAAACUAUUUAUUACUCUUAUCAAAGUUGUAGUAUGAAUCCUCCUUAUUGUAACCCGACCUCUAUAUGUAGUUGAAUGUUAGUGUAAUCGAUUAUCACCUAUUAGAUUACCCAA